rnacentral:rRNA from 1 species
AUUGAACGCUGGCGGCAGGCCUAACACAUGCAAGUCGAACGAGUGGCGGACGGGUGAGUAAUGUCUGGGAAACUGCCUGAUGGAGGGGGAUAACUACUGGAAACGGUAGCUAAUACCGCAUACCAUCGGAUCUGCCCAGAUGGGAUUAGGUAGUCGGUGGGGUAACGGCUCACCAAGGCGACGAUCCCUAGCUGGGCUGAGAGGAUGACCAGCCACACUGGGACUGAGACACGGCCCAGACUCCUACGGGAGGCAGCAGUGGGGAAUCUUGCACAAUGGGCGAAAGCCUGAUGCAGCCACGCCGCGUGUAUGAAGAAGGUCUUCGGGUUGUAAAAUACUUUCGUCAGGGAGGCGUUACCCGAAGAAGAAGCACCGGCUAACUCCGUGCCAGCAGCCGCGGUAAUAC